AUCGCCGACGGGUGGCUGUGGUGUGGGGCGCCGGGACGGCCAUGGCGCACCGGGCCGUGGAUGCUGUCGUCGGCCCUCGCAAGUUGGAGAUCGAGCACACGACGGCUGCGACAUCCAUGCACAGGCCCAGGCCUUCCAAGAUGUGGAAAAAAAUGGGGUGCGCCCCUCGCGCACGGACGCCUCCGUGCGCACCCCCGCUCGAUGGUCGCCACCCAUCCCAGCCAGGUUCGCAUCCGAGAGUCCUGCGCUGUUUCGAUUCCUCCUCGGCUCGGCAACCGCGCAGGAGGCCCGCUUGGCUCCAAUCGCUCGGCUUGGCUCCGCUCCAAUCCAACGCCCGCUCGCUCGCCCGCUGCGGAUCCCCUCGCCGGAGCCGCCGCGUCCCCCACUCCCGGCGGUGCCCCCGCUCCCACGCGCCCGAGCCGUCUUCCCCGUUACCUGCCACUUCUGCCUCCCCGCCGGCCGCCCUCCCGUCGACCACGGCCGACUCCGCCCGACGGCGCCUCCUCCCCUCCCGGCGUCCCAGCCCCGCGUCGCUCGUGGCCGCGUCCCGGCCAGCCACCGCUGGCCCGCCCGCGGCUGGGAGCGGAUGCUGCUGGCUCCCCAUCCAGCCGCUCUCCCCGUCCGUGGCCUCUGUUUGCUGCCUCUGUUUAGUACCUCUGUUUGCUGAAUUGGCCAGGUCGAUUGAUGUGGUUCCAAGUUUAGGAGAGAAUUUUGUUCACAGUGAUAGGACAUGGUGAUUUUGAUGACUCACCUGAUCUUAUUCUGACAGAAGAUUUCAGUGGUGUGAAUAAUGCUGGUAUGGGAGACUUAACACGAGUUUCCUUCGUAAGGAGGUCAAAAUGGAGUGAGUGGUUUUUGGAUACAUGGUGGAACCAGACUUCAUUUAUACAGUUUGGUUCCACAAAAAGUGGAGAUAAUGCAGCACUCAAGCAUCUAAUUGAUCACCUAUCAGCUGAAGAAAUGCAAGCGCAUGUUCGAAUAGCAAAAAUGCAGUGCCUCUUCAAUUCCUACUCUUGGGUCCUCACAUGGAAGUCAGGUUGGCCAAUUAACUGACUAUCUCUGUUUGCAACUGGUAGAUGGACAGGGCUUCGAUUCUUGGAGACGCAAUUGAGUACCUGAAGGUGUAACUUCCCAGAAGUCAUCGGAGGAAGACAAGGCAGAGGCAAGUUUUGAGCCAUCAAAAUCAAUGCUUCUCCUGGGAAUCCAUAGGAGGAAAAUGAGGAGAGUGUCAAGCCAUCGGAUAAUGUUGUUACUCUAGAGAAGCUAUUGGAAGAAGAUGGGGCAAGCAUGGAGCCAUCGGAAGACAAUGAUGCUCUUGAGGAACCAAACGAAGAAGAAAAGGCGAUUCACAAGCUGUCUGAGGACAAAGUAGCCCUUGUUCAACGUUACGACUGCAAAUUGUGGCUAGUUAUUUAUAUGUAGUUAAAUUUUGCAUGAUUCAUCACUGCAUACAGGAUAAGGCAGGCUGACAAUCUGAUGUAUAUAGUGUAGGGCUCAAAUUGUACAAUGUAUGGAUGUAUUACAAAAGAGAUAUUAUUCUAAAAUAAAUAUGAUUGUUCUUCAACA